UACGGAGGAUGCAAGCGUUAUCCGGAAUGAUUGGGCGUAAAGCGUCCGCAGGUGGCAAUGUAAGUCUGCUGUCAAAGCGUCUGGCUCAACCAGAUAAAGGCAGUGGAAACUACAUAGCUAGAGUAAGGUAGGGGUAGAAGGAAUUCCUGGUGUAGCGGUGAAAUGCGUAGAGAUCAGGAAGAACACCGGUGGCGAAAGCGUUCUGCUAGACCUGUACUGACACUGAGGGACGAAAGCUAGGGGAGCGAACAGG
rnacentral:rRNA from 1 species